UUUGAUGGCGACCGGCGCACGGGUGAGUAACACGUAUCCAACCUGCCGAUGACUCGGGGAUAGCCUUUCGAAAGAGAGAUUAAUACCCGAUGGCAUAGUUCUUCCGCAUGGUGGAACUAUUAAAGAAUUUCGGUCAUCGAUGGGGAUGCGUUCCAUUAGGUUGUUGGCGGGGUAACGGCCCACCAAGCCUUCGAUGGAUAGGGGUUCUGAGAGGAAGGUCCCCCACAUUGGAACUGAGACACGGUCCAAACUCCUACGGGAGGCAGCAUG
rnacentral:rRNA from 1 species